UUUUUUUUUUUUUUUUUUCCUGGAGGGGUAAUAAAAUGAAAUGGGUGAAACAAAGCCAUAAGCCAGUUAAGUCUGAAAGACAUGUCAUCUCAUCUAAAAGGAAGAAACGGACCAUUUCCAUGCCUAAGGCUGACAGCAACGCCUGAGCUGGCAAUAGUGCUAUUCCAUUUGAUUUAUAGAAUAAUGGGGUGACAAAUGACGACAAAAAUAAACUUUUACUGCACUGAACUGCUCCUUUAUUUAUGAAAUUUGGCCAAGUAGUGAAAUCUUUUAUCUGCAAGUUGUAACAUGGAGUGGGAACGAGCGAUUAUGGUGUGGUAAUAGUAAUCCAGCGAUGGAGGCUGAGUCAGUUGGAAAUGGAUUGAGGUAAAAUAACUACCGCACCAUGAUAAAUGUGAACAGCGCUUUGCUGACAGAUGAUCUAACAGGUGUUCAUAACAACUAUAUAAGAGGAUUUAUUUAUGACCAGCCACAGCCGCAGCACUGUAAAUCAACUCCAGCAGCUGCACACCGCUGAAACCAAGUCCCUGAUGGAGGAAUGGUGCAAGAGCCCAAAGAACACAAUUCACUCCAGAAUCUUAAUCAUCAAAUAACAUUUUUUUAGGUAAUUACACCACAGCACAGAAAUCAUAAUUACUUUCAAUUAGAAAACUGAGCUGCCCAUAACUUUGUUUACAAAAUAUUUUUACUUAGGCCCCAUGGUUUUGAUGAGGCCCGAGCAAAAUGGAGACUCUGGGGUCAUGGAAAGAGCACUCCUGGGUGUUAGCAGUUUCAAUGUGAGGCCAAUAGGAGGCCCUCUCGGGAUGGCUUGAUAUUUUAAACCAAGAAUCAAAUUUCAAACUGGGAGGGUACUGGGUUUCCCCCAAAAGUCUGCAUUAACUUCCCCUGGAGCAGUGUGUUUGGGUUCAUGUCUUACCCCUUUGUGGUCAUUCCUAACUUUAUACAGUUUACUAACACAGGGACUGGGCAUGUAACAAUGAACUCAUUAGAAGUGGGAAGUUCAAAUUUAGCCCGAGGGGCCCAUCUUCAUACAACCCUUUUUAAUUAUUUUGCAAAGGAAAAAUUUAGUAUUUUUCUUUUUGUAGGCCAUGGUCUUAAUUCCUUACUAUUAUCCACGGAGAUGGCUGACCCUACUGUUAAACAAGAGUCUUUACAUUCAUCACAUUGCUUAAACCCCAACCCCCCCAAAUUUGGUUCUUACAUGAGUGAGAAGAUGUUUUGCAAGGAACAAAUCAGAAUCUUGUUCAGCUACAGUUUGAAAGCUAAUCUAUUUUACCUCCUUCCGUCUUAUAUUAUGAAACUCACCCCUUGGCAACCCCUCCAUGGCCAGUUAAUGAGAAGUGAGGUGAGGUAAGGCUUCCCGGUUCUCUCCAAGCACACAUGCAGCAUCUGCAGUCUUCAAGGGUUUACAUGCAUGAGCCCACUGGCAAAAUUAUCUACUGGUUAGGCCUUCUAAACAUCUCUACAUCUGAGAAUAAAGAUUCUUCUACACUGGGGCACCUGGUUGGCUCGGCCAAUAGAGCAUGCAACUCUUGAACUCGGGUUGUGAGUUUGAGUGCCACUUGAGUGCCACUUUCUUACUUAAGAAAAUUCUCCUACACUUCAGCCUCAUUUUUGGUGGUGCUCAAGGUUGUAGAUGAGAAAGCAAUGUCUUAGAAGAUCAUUAAAGACAGGCUUGAGUCUGUUGUAAUAAUUCCAUAUUUGAGUUCUAAGAGGCUUGGGUCUUCAGUGAACACAUAUAUUGAAGCAGCCAGGAAUUACAUGUGCAAAUGACUAUGGACAUCAAAUUGGGUCCAGAGAAAGACAUGAGAGAAGAUUAGGCAUCACUUAAACACAUGAUCACUUAACCAGUGAAUAGAUACCAAUGCAAUUUCAUAUUCUUUCACUACUCUGAAACCCCAAAAGACUCAUUUUAGAACCUGGAAAUAAUUGAAAAGUACAGGAAAUAACUAACAUUGCCAAGGAAAUAUCUAAACUUGGCUUACAAGUGGGAGAGUAGAACCAACAAAGCCAAUCUCUCCCAAUCUCUAGUUCACUGCUUCCUAACUUCCUUUUUCUCGCCUCUUUUUCAAGCAUGGGCCCCAGCAUAGGCAUGGCAACCAUUCCCUUCUCUGAACUCCCACCACCCCUGAGCUGGAGACCUGGGGGAUAGUGUCAGGGACAUAGCCUGGGAAUGAAAAAGGGCAACAUGGGGGUACAGAGAAAGGUGUGUGGGUAACGUUGCUCUGUACAAAGGUACAUUUUAAGAGACAGCCUUUUGUCUGUUGAGACACUAUUUUUUCUUCUUCCACUCCUAGAAACUCUUUGCUCUUCUAAAUGCCAGCCAACUUUAAAGACCUAGCUAGCUUCAUUGCCUCAGUUGAAACUUCUCAGACCUCUCUAACCCAGUGAACACUUCUCCCCCUUAAAUCCAAUAGCUCUUACUGGCGUGAUAGGACUAUCCAGGCAACUGCCUCACAACUCUUUCCAGAAACGAUUUCAGCUUUCAAACAGCUAUGUUCCAAGUUUUUGGUCAAGUGAUCAUGUGAAGCCUAAAACGUUUUUAUUCAAAAGACAAUUUCCCAUGGUAGUUAACUUACCAGGUCAGGUCUUAAAAUAGUGCUUAUGCCAUAACACAGUUGAAAAAUGGUAGGAAAAAAAAUGUUACCAAGAUGGAAAGAGUAAAGCCUUCAUUUACUCAUACUGAACGUUAUUUGUCAGAAAGUCGCAUAAAGAAAGGAGAUGGAGACUGUGAAGAUCCAGGAACAAAUUUCUGGUCCAUUUAACAGCAUGUUUUCCUAUUAAACACAAUUUCUACUCAUCUAGGAGUAUAACACUAUCAUAACCUUUUUUUUUUUUUUUGGUUCCUCUAAAAUCUCAAGAA
rnacentral:lncRNA from 1 species